rnacentral:rRNA from 1 species
UGGGGAAUAUUGGACAAUGGGGGCAACCCUGAUCCAGCCAUGCCGCGUGAGUGAUGAAGGCCUUCGGGUUGUAAAGCUCUUUUGGCGGGGACGAUGAUGACGGUACCCGCAGAAUAAGCCCCGGCUAACUUCGUGCCAGCAGCCGCGGUAAGACGAAGGGGGCUAGCGUUGUUCGGAUUUACUGGGUGUAAAGGGCGCGCAGGCGGGAUAAAAAGUCAGUGGUGAAAUCCUACAGCUUAACUGUAGAACUGCCUUUGAUACUUUUAUUCUUGAGUUCGGGAGAGAGAGACGGAAUUCCAGGUGUAGUGGUGAAAUACGUAGAUAUCUGGAAGAACACCAGUUGCGAAGGCGGUCUCUUGGUCCGACACUGACGCUGAGGCGCGAAAGCGUGGGGAGCAAACA